GCAGUCGAGCGAACUGAUUAGAAGCUUGCUUCUAUGACGUUAGCGGCGGACGGGUGAGUAACACGUGGGCAACCUGCCUGUAAGACUGGGAUAACUUCGGGAAACCGAAGCUAAUACCGGAUAGGAUCUUCUCCUUCAUGGGAGAUGAUUGAAAGAUGGUUUCGGCUAUCACUUACAGAUGGGCCCGCGGUGCAUUAGCUAGUUGGUGAGGUAACGGCUCACCAAGGCAACGAUGCAUAGCCGACCUGAGAGGGUGAUCGGCCACACUGGGACUGAGACACGGCCCAGACUCCUACGGGAGGCAGCAGUAGGGAAUCUUCCGCAAUGGACGAAAGUCUGACGGAGCAACGCCGCGUGAGUGAUGAAGGCUUUCGGGUCGUAAAACUCUGUUGUUAGGGAAGAACAAGUACAAGAGUAACUGCUUGUACCUUGACGGUACCUAACCAGAAAGCCACGGCUAACUACGUGCCAGCAGCCGCGGUAAUACGUAGGUGGCAAGCGUUAUCCGGAAUUAUUGGGCGUAAAGCGCGCGCAGGCGGUUUCUUAAGUCUGAUGUGAAAGCCCACGGCUCAACCGUGGAGGGUCAUUGGAAACUGGGGAACUUGAGUGCAGAAGAGAAAAGCGGAAUUCCACGUGUAGCGGUGAAAUGCGUAGAGAUGUGGAGGAACACCAGUGGCGAAGGCGGCUUUUUGGUCUGUAACUGACGCUGAGGCGCGAAAGCGUGGGGGAGCAAACAGGAUUAGAUACCCUGGUAGUCCACGCCGUAAACGAUGAGUGCUAAGUGUUAGAGGGUUUCCGCCCUUUAGUGCUGCAGCUAACGCAUUAAGCACUCCGCCUGGGGAGUACGGUCGCAAG
rnacentral:rRNA from 2 species